UAAAAGCUCGUAGUUGGAUUUCUGCAUGGAAGGAGCGGUCCACCCAUUGGGCGAGUUACUGCUACCUUUGGUGCAUCUUUCUGAGGACGUGUUCUUCACUUAAUUGUGAGGGCGCAGGACUCAGAACAUUUACUUUGAGGAAAUGAGAGUGUUUCAAGCAGGCAAAUGCCUUGAAUACGUUAGCAUGGAAUAAUAGCAUCGGACCAUCGUCCAGCUGUUGGUGUCUGGGCGAAGGUAAAGGUGAAUAGGGAUUGUUGGGGGCAUUCGUAUUUAACUGUCAGAGGUGAAAUUCUUGGAUUUGUUGAAGACGGACCACUGCGAAAGCAUCUGCCAAAGAUGUUCUCAUUGAUCAAGAACGAAAGUUAGGUGAUCGAAGACGAUCAGAUACCGUCCUAGUCUUAACCAUAAACUAUGCCGACUGGAGAUAGGAAGCGUUUAUUUUACGACUCUUUCUGCAUCUUGAGAGAAAUCAAAGUCUUUGGGUUCCGGGGGGAGUAUGGUCGCAAGGCUGAAACUUAAAGGAAUUGACGGAGGGGCACCACCAGGAGUGGAGCCUGCGGCUUAAUUUGACUCAACACGGGAAAACUUACCAGGUCCAGACAUAGUAAGGAUUGACAGAUUGAGAGCUCUUUCUUGAUUCUAUGGGUGGUGGUGCAUGGCCGU
rnacentral:rRNA from 1 species